GGGAGGGAAUGGGGAAAGUGGAACACAGCAGUUGCCAGCCUGCUCUUUUGAGGUCAUGAAUCGAAUGUAAGUCUCUUCGAGAACCUGCCUUUUGAGUGCAUUCCUUUGUCCAUCAACCCGGUAGAAAGUUUGACAAGGAGUCCAUUCAUUUAUUCUUUAGGUGUCUAUUGCGUAUCUACUAUGUCCGGGGUAGAGUGAUUGAUAUGCGCGUGAGCCCUUCUUCUUGAACAUUCCUGAAGAACUGUCACGCCCAGCUUUGUCACACCUGAAAUGUGUCUGCCAGCCUUUGUCUACCAGCCUUACCCCUACCAACGGCCGUUACUGCCCCCUCCAAGAUAUUUGAAGAAGGGAAUGAAUGAUCGGUUUAGGACCAUAGGUGGGUAUCCUGUGUGUCAUCUGCACAAAAGUAGGGCCCCCGUUUUGCAAUGUCACAGAGCAGGAAGGCCUGAGGAGGGAAUUUAGCCCAGCCGUCUGAAUCUGGGCUUGGCAGUGACCCUCUUUUUCUUACGGUAUUGAGUUUGCUGAUAUUUAAGUAGCUCGAGCUUUGGACUUUUCCAUGUGAGGUUUUUGGGGGAUCUCCUCAAGGAUCUGCCUCUCCUGAAUUCUUGGUUUACCUCUGUUACUUGUUGUGAAUCUAUGACGGAUAAAUCAGCUCAUCUGUUUUUGAAGCCAUUUAAGUUCUUGUUCUGUGUUAUCUGUUAAGAAUAUGCGUGCCGUUGGUUUACUCUGUAGUUAUGUCAAGGCGUAUUUCCUUUAUUUGUCUUGUGUUGGUUCACAUUAAACUUUGAGGUUUGCAACCCAGGUCCAAAAGAAAAGGAUUUGGGGAAGGCGUUCCUGUUUCCGAAUUGCGUCUUUGUGAUUUUUUGUGUACCGUACAUGCCUGAAUAUGAAGUAAGGGAUUUUCAGUUAUCCCUCAGGAGAGAGAAGUCAUUUUAUAUUAAAAUUUUCAUCUGGUCUCUUAUAUUGCAGAAUAUUCACUCGGUUACUUUAUUUCAAAAACAAUAGGUAUUUGUGGCUUGAAAUAUUUUUCUUGACCCCAGCUACCUAUAAUAAUCUAAGUUUAUUAUAAUUGCUGGUUUUGCCUGGGAGUGGGAGGUUGACGCAUGCUCAUACAUUACUUAAAAUAACAUGUUUGGUUAUCUGCAGCUCUGUAUUGGAGACUAGCUCUGUAUGUUCUUGUUGCUAGAGCAAAGGGCAAUUAGUUGACCUCUGUCUGUACAAGCUUUAAUAAUGGGGUGUCUUUGUAAGCUUUGUUCCUUAGAGUUGAUAGGUUAUCUCCUCUCCCCAGGCUUCCUUAAGGAAGGUUGGGUGAUAGUGAUCAGGGCUUAAAGAGAGACUUUAGUGCCGCAGUUGGUGUAGACCAACAGCUUUAUAUAAGGUUCAUUUUCGAGUUCAUACCUUUAAAGCUGUCCCUGAUGAGGGCCACUUAUGGCUCUAUUUGUGGAUAGAAAUCCUAUUGUUGCUGAAAAGGGUAUAAGAAGUCUUGUUUACCUUAAUUCUCCAUCCUGGCCAGUCACUUGCAGUGACAGUCUUUUGGCUUCUGGAUAAGAUGAGACAUUUCUUUUUACUCAAUAAAGAUGAAGAAGACUCUUCGUUAAUAAAUGUUCAUACACACAUCUAAGGGAGAUCACUCAAUUUCACUGUAUAAAAAAGCAGUAAGAUCUCAAACGUAGAAUUGUAGAAGGAUGUGUUUGUGUCGUGUGCUAAACUCUGAAUCAUUUGUGAACUAUAUUCUUGGGAUAAAUCUUAAAAAAUUAUAAAAUGUAUAGAUAAGUUACCGUGUCCUUAAAACCAAAUGGCUUUCACUAAAUAAAAUUCUCUCUAUACACAGUUACAUUCUUGUGUUCUUAUAGUUAAUAUGAUAUUAAUAUGACAUAAUUCCUCUUUAAGAUUAUUUUGUUUUGCACACACUUAGGAACUUUCCUGGAAAACUGACACCUGGGUUCCUCUGUGCCAUUUUGAAUGAUGUCCUUUAUUAGAAACUCGCUAAAGAAGACCAAAUGAAUUUUGCAUUUUCUUUCCUUUUUUUUUAGGCUCUGAGAGUGUGUAUGUGUCUGAGACUAUGUAGGUGUCUAAAAGCCUAGCAUGCUUAAAACCAUGGCUGAAGAGUUAUGCUUAACUGUAUACUUUGCAUGCAUUUGUGAUUUGAAAUAGGGAAAAAAAAAGUCAAAUCGGAGACAGCUUGAAUGGCAUGCUGUCAGUUUGGAGCUUCAUGAAUUGGCAAUGGUCUCAUUUAGGACCUUCAGAUGUGUCUCUGCCUGGACAGAAUGAGAACGUUUUGCAUGUUCUGGAGGAGACAGCCACUCCUUGCUGCUUCACAAUGGGCAGCGGUGCAUGACAGUUGCCCUUCAUUGCUGGUUUCUUGGAGCUUAACCUCUGACCCUCCACUUAGUCGCUGUGCAGCGGCUGGAGCAGGUCGGAGAUGUUGGUGAAUGACGGGCAUUGGCCUGCAACGUGCUUGUCAUUAUUCGACUGUCAAAAGGAGCCUGCCAUUGGUUUCCAUCCAGGUUUGAAACCUCUGUGCAACAGUCCAUAUUCCUUAACUUCCAGGGCUGUCAACAGCAUGAUCAAAUGUGCAUAAAAAAAAAUCAGAGUGCUGAAUAUAUCUUCAGUCAGAAGAUAGGAAGUUUCACCCUCCUCCUUUCUCUCUCUUUCUCUCUUUUCAUUUUUCUUUUGGUUGAAUAUAUUCCGAUGACUUUCACAGGGCCAAGAGGUUGAAUCUGUUGCCACGGUGAAAAAAGUGAACUGUUGUCUCAUGUGGUCCGAGUUUCAAACAGCACAAUGAGGAUCUGAGCAGGUCUGCCAGUUAAAACUCUCAGGCUUGUCUUGCAUAUCCUCUCAGCUUUCAGCCAUUGGUUUAAGGGACUGGGUGGUUUAAGGGACUGGAUCCCAGUGGUACCUGGGAUGAGCUGACAAGAUGAAACAUUUACUUUGGUUUUUAUGUGAUUUUGCAAAGGAAUGGAGAGGUCAGUUUGUACGAUUUGUAAAGCAGGGAUUGGGGAAAUUUAAAAUAACGAAGGGAGGAUAAGACUUUUUUUUUUUCAUGGUAAAGAAGUUCAAACACAAGGAGUUUAAUUGGCUGUGAUCAAGUUUUAGAGACUUCAGAGGUCAAGCUUAGGCAAGGAGAUUCUUAGAUACACAGAAAUACGGCCGUCAAAGCCAUCUCUCCGUGUAAAUCUGAGACUCUGAAUGCAGAAGCAUCCCAAAGUAGAAAGGGAUGAGGGAAAGCCCAACCAUAUUCUUAAAUUUCUUCAUGUGCAGAAGUAGGGGUACUUCCGUCCUGUGGUGAGGACGAAAGGAGAGAUUCUGUUUGAGAAAUACUUGCUUUUGUGCAGUACCCUGGGCCCUCCACAGGCACUUCCUGGUUUCCUCUUUAUCCUUUUCUGAGCAGAAAAGAUUUAUCAAGGCACUGUCUGGGCAGAUAACAUACUCUAGAACUCAAGACAGUCAGUCUUUGCGUUUCAGCUCUUCGACACCCCCUCCCCACCACUGUUACAGAUUUUAGUUCAUAAUACCACGUUUUAGUCAAGCCCUCAAACCACAGUUUUGAGUGGUCUGCCUGCCUGUCUUCUCCUUCCUUCUCUCGCUCCACAAAUAUUUUUUAAGCUCUUACUGUGCAUUGAGCCAUGUUGUCAGAUCUGGAACCCAGCCAUGAACUAAACGGACCUACACCACAGCUCGAGGCAAUGCAGGAUCCCCGACCCACCGAGCGAGGCCAAGGAUUGAACCUGCAUCCUCACGAAUACUGGUUGGAUUGGUUUCCAUUGCACCACAAUGGGAACUCCACAAGGGUUGUGUUUUUGUUGGUCUGUUGUAUUUUCAGUAUCUGGCG
rnacentral:lncRNA from 1 species